AUUUGUGGACUAAUUUUCUCACUGGAUCUUCUUUCCUGCAGUAAGAGGUGAUUUGGGUCCUGUGGAAGGUCAUUGUCUCAAUUUGUCUGGUGUUUGCAGAAGAGAUGUCUGCAAAGUAGUAGAAGAUCAAAUUGGUGCCUGCCGAAGAAGGAUGAAGUGUUGUAGAGCAUGGUGGAUUUUAAUGCCAAUUCCAACACCACUUAUCAUGUCAGAUUAUCAAGAACCCCUUAAACCUAAGUU
rnacentral:lncRNA from 1 species